rnacentral:rRNA from 1 species
UACGAACCGUGCGAACGUUGUUCGGAAUCACUGGGCUUAAAGGGCGCGUAGGCGGACCAUCAAGUCGGGGGUGAAAUCUUUCAGCCCAACUGGAAAAGGGCUUCCGAUACUGGUGGUCUCGAGGGAGGUAGGGGUCGAGGGAACUAAUGGUGGAGCGGUGAAAUGCGUAGAUAUCAUUAGGAACGCCGGUGGCGAAAGCGCUCGACUGGACCUCUUCUGACGCUGAGGCGCGAAAGCCAGGGGAGCAAACGGG